ensembl:lncRNA
UGAAGUUUACCCAAUGCUCAGAGGUUGGAAAUAUGUGGUUUCACACCAUAAAACCAUGAACAGAGAUGCAUUCAUACUCUGCACAGAAGAACUGUUUUAAUAGUAUACAUUUCUCUGGAUCCAGGAAAGAAUAAAGGCCAACAGUCCCACUAAAGCAGCACUGAGAAGACAGAAAAUGGCCAUCCUCACCCAGCACUGCCCUGAACACCCAGUAGGACCGUCUGAAGACUCAGGAGGACCUGUUGAACAUCCAUCCAGUUUUUCUGUGUAAACACCAAAUACAAAUGAAUGCAUUUGCUUGUCAUCCACUGAGAAAAUCAAUCAUGAAACCACCCUGCAAUGCUGAAGAGAAGAUACACUACCAUCAUUAUCACUUUUAGAUGAAACAAAACACUUGUCAUAUUUAAGAACGUAACCGGAUCCAACUUUAAGUUCUAUGUCGAUUCCUGAAGUACAAUAGUAGAAUCCCAGCAAAGACUUAGUAAUGUUGCUGAUGUUCAGACUGAUGGUGCCGUUGUCCUCUAACUUUGUGCUGAAUGCAUUGUUGUUGCCGUGGAGGAAUUUAUUUAGAACUUCCUUUUUCUUAACUUCACUCUGUUUGGCCGAUAUGAUGACAAAGGGUGUCUUGUUGCUCUCUUGUCCGAACCACUUUGUUGAGUUCUUGUGAGGUACGUUACAGGACAUACAGACAGUCUCCCCAGGUUUGACCACUCUGGUCAUAGUGGAGGACACUGAAG